GGCACGGCAACCAUACAGCCUUUAGAAACUGAAACAGGUUUGCUGUAUUUAAGUAUUAUUUACUUCUCUGUUUGUCUUCUCAAACAGAGAAAAUGUGUCCUGAAGGAUGGAAGUAGUUUGGCUCCAGCAGCUGUUACUACCUCUCGGCUGAGAAGAAACCCUGGGAGUAGCUGAACAGGACUGUCUGGGGAGAGGAGCACACCUGGUGAUCAUAAAUAGUAGAGAGGAACAGAAAUUCCCCAUUGCAUUAAGGACAUUUUCCUGGAUGGGUCUGAAUGAAAGAGUGACAACGGGGACCUGGACAUGGAUGGACGGUACACCACUGACCACAUGGGUUAACCCUCUAGGUACUGGGCGGAGAAACAGCCUGAUAAUUCAGGUCCUAAUGGGGAGGAGGACUGUGCUGAGAUGAAUUAUAGGUAUUGUGACCAUGUAU